AGCUAACGCAUUAAAUGAUCCGCCUGAGUAGUAUGCUCGCAAGAGUGAAACUUAAAGGAAUUGACGGGGACCCGCACAAGCGGUGGAGCAUGUGGUUUAAUUUGAAGAUACGCGGAGAACCUUACCCACUCUUGACAUCCUUCGCAAUGCUAUAGAGAUAUAGCGGAGGUUAACGGAGUGACAGAUGGUGCAUGGUUGUCGUCAGCUCGUGUCGUGAGAUGUUUGGUCAAGUCCUGCAACGAGCGCAACCCCUAUCUUUAGUUACUAACGAGUCAUGUCGAGGACUCUAGAGAUAC
rnacentral:rRNA from 1 species